GGCCCACCUACACAAAUCUUAUAUCAAAACGUUCAGCUAUCCCUGCUGCCACUAAACAUGUCAACGGCUAAGCCAUAGUCCUGAUAGUUUUCACAAUCUAAUCAUUUGUUUGCAACUAACGCCGUCCAUUGACAUUCAUUGAAACUUCCCUCUACAAAGCUCAAAUUUGAAGUGCAAUUUCUAAACUGCGACUGUGCCUUCAUUUUUAAUACUUCAGAGACAUACUAUGCAUCGAAAUGUAGGUCUGGGUCUUGUGAUUCUCACAAUAUAAAGCUCUUCGCUGUAGGAUGUAUAGUUUUUAAAAUAUGACCAUUUGAAGAUGGCAACCGCCAAAAUACUCUGACCUGUGUCAGGCUGCAGCAGCAAGUGAUGUCAUAGACAGGGCCUUUUGAACACCUGCUAAUGUUUUUAUAAAUGUAUGGUUUAAUGUAACUGUGCAACAACGUUGCAAUUAAAUGUGCUAUAUAAAUGAUAACAGUUACUCCGCCCACUCCAGUUGUAGACUACUGGUGGUGGCAAGAACACUUCACACAAUUUCCCCAGAAAUUGUAGCUUUUCUAGUUAUUCUUAUUCUUAAGAUAGCAAAAUUUGCCACCCUAACUCCUCCCACAGUUUUUACACUACAUAGACCAAAAUUUACCAAAACGUGCAGAUUGUUCCCGAUCGGAUUGCUAUUACUUUGUGGAACGUUUCGCCGAAUGGUUCACGGAAUAUCGUCGUUUUUGUGGCGCAAUUUGUCCCAUAGGAAUGAAUGGCAAAGCUAGAGUGGGAGCUGCCAAAAGCUGAAAAAUCAGGACAUGAUUUCUAAACUGUCACCACUCCCUUAUUUACAGGCCCACCUACACAAAUCUUAUAUCAAAACGUUCAGCUAUCCCUGCUGCCACUAAACAUGUCAACGGCUAAGCCGUAAUCCUGAUAGUUUUCACAAUAUGACCAUUUGUUUGCAACCAACGCCGUCCAUUGACAUUCAUUGAAACUUCACUCUGCAAAGCUCAAAUUUGAAGUGCAAUUUCUAAACUGCGACUGUGCCUUCAAUUUUAAUACUUCAGAGACAUACUAUGCAUCAAAAUGUAGGUCUGGGUCUUGUGAUUCUCACAAUAUAAAGCUCUUCACUGUAGGAGUUAUAGUUUUUAAGAUACGACUGUUUGAAG